GCCGGGCAUGGUGGCGUGUGCCUGUAAUCCCAGCUACUCAGGAGGCUGAGGCAGUAGAAUCGCUUGAACCCGGGAGACAGAAGUGGCAGUGAGCCGAGAUCGCGCCAUUGCACUCCAGCCUGGGUGACAGAGUGAGACUCCGUCUCAA
rnacentral:SRP_RNA from 2 species